GACGUAGGGCGCGAGCGUUGUCCGGAUUUAUUGGGCGUAAAGAGCUCGUAGGCGGCUUGUCGCGUCGUUCGUGAAAACCCGGGGCUCAACUCCGGGCUUGCGGGCGAUACGGGCAGGCUAGAGUUCGGUAGGGGGAGACUGGAAUUCCUGGUGUAGCGGUGAAAUGGCGCAGAUAUCAGGAGGAACACCGGUGGCGAAGGCGGGUCUCUGGGCCGAUGACUGACGCUGAGGAGCGAAAGCGUGGGGAGCGAACAGG
rnacentral:rRNA from 1 species